GACCGGCCCCACGCUGCGCUCGCCGCCCUUUAUGUGGCGGAGGAAGGGCGGGGAGCGCAGCGGUGCCUAAUUGGAGCGGGGCCCUGCCCUGAGCCUCCUGGGAGACCCCCCCGGGGUCGGCGGGAGGGUUACGGGGCAGGACUUCUGCCACCAGUGAGGGAGCAGACGUAUGAAGAAAAAGGAUUGCAAAAGCCAUGAGACAAUCUUCAGCACUUUUACUGACUGCAGAGUCAUCAGCCAAAACUGCACAACUGAGAGGAACUUUGAUCACAUUAAAACUUUGCAGAAUGCAGGUAAAAUAUGUUCCUGUCCUCAUUAGUGCAGAGGGAGAGACCUCACUCCAUGUGCAUUGGGAGCACCUAACAGUAGAGAUUUUGAAUGAGAGUUUACAGAUAAAUACUGUCUAGCUUUGCUGUAAAAGUGGUGUGCUCACUCCUACAUUUGAACUGUCCUGGAAUUUUCAAACUGGAAAUAAAAUUUCAAGUACA